rnacentral:misc_RNA from 1 species
GCCGCUGCCAGCGCCUACUCCCAACUUCAAGUAGAAGACUAGAAAGGGAAAAAACGCCCGACAAAAAAAGCCCGGCAGUAAGCUCCUCUCUCGAGUCUCAAACCGUGUGAAGAAAACAUUCCUAUAAAAAAAAUCAGAUUUAUUAUGCAUUCACGUCUCUUUACGUUUCUCAUCUCUGAAAAAAAAAAAAUCUCAACUCGUCAUCCUCGGCUCACAUUCUUGGAGUUCAACCACUUUCCUUCCUUUUUGCCUAUUCUGCUCUCUUAUUCACUGCCAUUUCUAUAUAUCCAGUCUCUUUCACACUCUUUGCUAUUUGCCACAAUUCAACCUGUGAAUCAAGCAAGGAAUCCAUGACUCUCUUAGUCUGUUUCGCUGUUGUACGC